UUUCCCCACUAUUCUCACUAUUAGAAAUGGACCUCAUUCUCAGACACCUGUCUAACCAGACUAAUUUGGUCCCAAUUUCAUCAGAAGCCGACUUGAUCACCUUGAUCAUCUUUGAUCACCUGAUAAAUAUGGACCCUCACCACCUUGACGCUGUGCCUCCUUUCAGCCACAAAAACCAGCCAGGUCUCCAUCAGGAGUUUCCAGUCCCUCAGACUUGCUGACUCAGGUGCUGACUCAGAGGGAAAUAGGCACAAGAGUAGGGUUUGGUUGACUACCUUUUGCACACUUCAGAUACUGAUACAGCUGUGAAGCAUUGGCAGUUAUUUACAAUUGAGGACUACAUCUCGUACUGUUGUGACAGAGGGGGCACAGGGUUACAGUCAAUCAACAGCUGCAGAUGUUCCAAGCCACUGACAGUUGGACCAGCCUCUAAAAUAAAAUAGCUGAGGCCCAGAGAAGACAAGUGGCUUGUCCAAAGUCACACUUUGGACAAAGUGUGUAAAUAGCAGAUUUACAAGUUGGUCCCUUGACUCCAAAACUGGCGUCCUUUCUGGAGGAGAUGGAGGAAAAGAGCAAGAGUGGAGCAACACAUCAUGGA